rnacentral:rRNA from 1 species
UACAGAGGUCCCGAGCGUUGUUCGGAUUCACUGGGCGUAAAGGGUGCGUAGGCGGUGGGGCAAGUCUGAUGUGAAAGCUUCGAGCUUAACUCGAAAAUGGCAUUGGAAACUGCCCCGCUAGAGGCUUGGAGGGGGGACUGGAAUACUUGGUGUAGCAGUGAAAUGCGUAGAGAUCAAGUGGAACACCAGUGGCGAAGGCGAGUCCCUGGACAAGACCUGACGCUGAGGCACGAAAGCUAGGGGAGCAAACAGG